GACGAACGCUGGCGGCGUGCUUAACACAUGCAAGUCGAACGGUAAGGCCCUUCGGGGUACACGAGUGGCGAACGGGUGAGUAACACGUGGGUGAUCUGCCCUGCACUUCGGGAUAAGCCUGGGAAACUGGGUCUAAUACCGGAUAGGACCCUGGGAUGCAUGUCCUGGGGUGGAAAGCUUUUGCGGUGUGGGAUGGGCCCGCGGCCUAUCAGCUUGUUGGUGGGGUGAUGGCCUACCAAGGCGACGACGGGUAGCCGGCCGGAGAGGGUGACCGGCCACACUGGGACUGAGAUACGGCCCAGACUCCUACGGGGGGCAGCAGUGGGGAAUAUUGCACAAUGGGCGCAAGCCUGAUGCAGCGACGCCGCGUGAGGGAUGACGGCCUUCGGGUUGUAAACCUCUUUCAGCACCGACGAAGCGCAAGUGACGGUAGGUGCAGAAGAAGGACCGGCCAACUACGUGCCAGCAGCCGCAGUAA
rnacentral:rRNA from 1 species